UCAUUCCACAAAACGAAUGCAACAGAAAAAGUUCACAAGCUAUAUUCCGUUCCAUCGCAAAUUUGCAUCGUUUGGCUGAUACAACAUUCAAAAGCAAAAUAUACACAUAAAAAAAUUGCAAGACAUCUGAUGUACCAAGAAUCAUCUUAUAGACAUUGUAUACUUGUCAAGUUUCUUAUCUUACUAAAUACUUCACAAACCAACACUAAAAAAGAUCGGAGGAACACAUUUGGAUUGUCACAGGCCUUGUGGAACCUUUGACAGUUUUUUUUAGUGGGGUUUGGGAAGAGGUUUACAAGGUGAGGCAUCAAACCUUCACCGUAAUCAACUAACUGAGCUAUAAAGAUUUCCCUAGGACAAUAUUAGUUUUAAGUAUUAAUUUACCUUAUUUCAACUGUGGGCCUGUUUUUGUGGCUUUAGCCAUGAAGCUCAGAUAAAUCUGUUUCAAGAUUCUUGUAUAUUUGCAGAAAAAAGGUACAGUUUAUCUGAAGUAAAUGGAAGUGAACUGAAGCUGAAAUGGUCAAUUUUUCUCUUAACAUAAUUCAAAAGUAUCUUACCAUGUCAUAUCUCUAAUUUAGGAGUCGUCACUAUUAGUUUCAAUAUUUCUAAAUUCUAACUAAAAAAGCAUAUGGUCUAUUUUUCUUUGAUGAAUAUAUGAUCUCUUUUUUUUUUUUUUUUAGAGAAAAGGGUCUAAAAAGCACUAUAACUUUGGCCGAAAUUGCUGUUACGAUACUAAACUUUAUGAAGGACCUUUUACCCCAGCACUAUUUAAUAAUGUAUUUUAAAGGUAUAUAUGUGCCCACGUGGACACAUCAAUUUCGGUCAAAAUUCAGAUAUAUUUCAGACCCUUUUCCCUAUUUUUAUGAACAUUUUUCCCUUCGUCUUUAAUUUUGUACAUACCUAGACAAAACUUCAGAGGACCAGCUGGGGGGCGCUGGCUGGCAUGUCACCCCAAGGGAUGCACUUCAGAGCCCCUUUUGGGGCGCGCUGGCUGGCGCGAUGCCCUACCCCCUUCCCCAGGUCUUUGACGAUUUUCUUCUCCGUUUUUCAUCUCUAAACCCUCCUAAUUUCCAUGGUUCUUUCCCCAAAUAUUUAGGAUCAAAAGUACUCUCAACUUACAACAGAUCUAACUAGAAAAUCCACCCGGAAACAUGAAUCAAAUCAACAAGAAAUUUCAACAACACAACCAAUCCAGAACUUAACGACGUCCUUCAAGAACUUCACUUUUUAACAUGUAAACAACCCAAAAUUGCUGAAUUGAAACAAGUUGGUGUGUGGGUGAACUAACCCAGCACUAAAAGAUCUCACAUACCUUAAUAGGGAUUGCCCCAGACGAAUUCCACUCCAAAAGCUUGAUGUUCUUGGCGAAAUCUUGGCUUUUCUCCCUUUCUUUCUUCUUUUCUCUCUUCUCCAAGCCCUAAGCGUAUUUCUCAAUUCUCCAAACUGACUAAGUCAUGUUUUUACCCCAAUAAAUCC
rnacentral:lncRNA from 1 species